CACCAGAUGGGACCCCAGAGGAGGAGGAGUUGAAACUGGAGUGGCCAGCAGGAGUCACCCAGGCCUCGGCCAAGGACCUGGUCAAGCUGUCCCACACUGAGGGGAGUUCCUCCCCGGAUGGUCUGGUGUCCAUCCUGAAGAGAAGAAGAGCAUCGCUGGACGGACUUCCACCCUCACUGCCUGCAGCUACUAAACACAACUCCAAACGCAAGGUCCGCUUCAGCGAGCCAGAGGAUGGCCUAGAGCAAGACGAGGUGGGUGGAGAUUCCUGCCUGAUCCUGCUGCUGCUGUGUAUGGUUACUGUGAUAAUCAGCAUCGGCGGGACCGCUCUGUACUGCACACUGGUGGACACGUACUCCAACGUAUGCACCGACUUCUCUCACAACGGCGACUUUUACGUCACCAACGUACGGCGGUUCUUGGACGAGCUCAGACUCUGGCUGCCCCUCUGAGAUGCAAACACCUGUAUUUCAAACGUUUAUUUUUCGAGAUUAUUUUUAUGGAAUUAAUGGACAUUAUUGGACGGUAAACAGAGGAGCAAUGGUUGGAUGACAAAAGAUGGAGGGUCUAUACCACAUGACUUAAGUUUUUGGAACCAGAGUCAGAUUCCACCACAGGCACAGGACCUGUCACACGUUCAUCUGGGCCCAUCAUUAUUCAGAAUACUAAACACGUUUACAUACUAUUGACUCAACCGAAGUUAGUGUGAAGGGACUCACUGGACCUGCCAUUAUGGGUCGACACAGCAUUUAACAGAGUCACUGAGACUCGUGAUUGAUAACUACUGUACUGGCUGACUGGUGUAUAAGUUACCGUGCAAUUAAUUAUUUUGUCAAAAAAAAAAACGACAAACAGCUGUUGUAUGCAUGGUUUUAGGUGUGCAGUCAAAGCCCACAUGCAGACAUUUCGAGUACUAACUCCUUCCUGUUUUCUCUCGUUUCUGUUUAAAUAUUAAAUCCGUGGCCGAACUUGAUACAUAUCACAUGAGAAGGUUCAUAACUCUUGAAAAGAUAGCUUGUGUGCGUGUGUGUGUGUGCGCGCACACACACACACGCACACAUGUCCCCCCCUUUUUUCUCCCCAAUUGUGCUUGGCCAAUUACCCCACUCUUCCGAGCCAUCCCGGUCGCUGCUCCACCCCUUCUGCCGAGCCAGGGAGGGCUGCAGACUACCACAUGCCUCCUCCGAUACAUGUGGAGUCACCAGCCACUUCUUUUCACCUGACAGUGAGGAGUUUCACCAGGGGGACGUAGUGCAUGGGAGGAUCACACUAUUCCCCCCAGUUCCCCCUCAAACAGGCGCCCCGACCGACCAGAAGGAGGCGCUAGUGCAGCGACCAGGACACAUACCCGCAUCCGGCUUCCCACCUGCAGACACAGCCAGUUGUGUCUGUAGGGACGCCCGACCAAGCCGGAGGUAACACGGGGAUUGGAACCGCCGAUCCCCGUGUUGGGAACCAAUGGAAUAGACUGCUGCACCACCCGGACGCCCCCGUUACCGGUAUAUUUUCACAGCAUUGGUGGUUACUGGGUAAAUUUUUUGCUCUACGAACCAUUCGUAUAGUUCCAGUUUUGAGGACUAUGGUUCUGAAACGUUUUCACACUGACACAACAGAGGUUGUUGUGUUUCUGCCGUGCCUCACUGCUGCUAAAUGAAUGUAGGGGAAACACUUUAUCCAACUAAUUUAUAGAUUCCUUUAUAAACAAAGACCAGAUUAUAUGCUUUGAAAAAUGAGGAAAAACAACAGCAGUAUGUAGAAGACAAUAUUAUUUUGACAUUUCUUUUUAACAGACAAGUUUCCUUGAGCUUCAGAGAAAAAUGCUUACUUCCACAAAUAACUAUAACUUGUGGUAAGACUGACUUCUAUAUUCCUUUGUACAAAAGAGAAGUGUGACAUGAUAAACUGGUGACCACGGCGGCGGCCACAUGCGUCGGGCAAUUCCAUAUUCAAAGUGAAGUUACCAUGUGCUUGUUAAAUUGGAGCAACAACUUUACAACAGGAAAAGUGGAACUACCUAAUAAUGCAUGUAGUCACUGCCACCAGAGAUUAGAUGGUGUAUAUCAUCCUGCAGGGAUGCAUUUAGGUGUGGUUCGCAUGGUUGUCAGUAUGUGUUACAGAAUUUAUAAGGACUACUCUACAACCUCAGGCACUUCCCUUCAAGUCUUCUUAUGGUGCUUUAUGUCUCCAUGUUCUUCCUAAUGUACAGCCCUUCGAUUCCUCUGCAAGGUGUAAUUUUCUGUAUCCAAAUCGGCUUCCAGUACAUGCCGUCUCCCUCUUGGGUGUGUAAAUAAUUUAGGACAUGGCAUUAAAAUCCCACUGCAGAUAAAAGAUGUAUCCAUCCAAAGGCAGGCGAUGAUAGACUUUAGGUACACUUGUUUUUUUGUAUCCAAUCCAAAGCUCAUUGGCUUAUUUAGGGACAGUUUUGAUGCAUCUUUCACCCGCAUUAUGGUUUGAAUGCCAGCUGUACAUGGGCUUUAUUGUAUUUUGUAUUGGUUUGCCCAGAAGCAGAGCUUUACGGAUGAACAGCGGUGUAUUUUCUGGCUGGUCCAGAUGACAACAUUGUUUAAACUUUUGUGACGUCAGAGAAAAUACACUGUAAACACUACAUUUUAUCAUUGGAAUGGAAAUCAUGUAGUUUUGGCAGCAUGCCCCUUUCUUCCAUUUCUUUGUAUUGUUGUUUUUAUUGAUAACAAUAGACUAACACUCCUUUUACACUCAAGAUAUCUGUAAAGUGAUGAAUGUGACCUUAUUGUUACAAGCGGAUAUUGUUUACCUUCACGUAUGGCAUCAUGCAGUUCCCUUUAUGUUUAUGUUUACUUGUACCUGUAAGGGAAGUCAAAUAAUAUUACAUAUUGGA